rnacentral:rRNA from 1 species
UGGGGAAUAUUGCGCAAUGGGCGAAAGCCUGACGCAGCAAUACCGCGUGUGUGAAGAAGGCCUGCGGGUUGUAAAGCACUUUCAGUAGGGAGGAAAGGUUGCGUGUUAAUAGCACGUAGCUGUGACGUUACCUACAGAAGAAGCACCGGCUAACUCCGUGCCAGCAGCCGCGGUAAUACGGAGGGUGCAAGCGUUAAUCGGAAUUACUGGGCGUAAAGCGCGCGUAGGUGGAUUAUUAAGUCAGAUGUGAAAGCCCAGGGCUCAACCUUGGAACUGCAUUUGAUACUGGUAAUCUUGAGUACAGUAGAGGGAGGUGGAAUUUCAGGUGUAGCGGUGAAAUGCGUAGAUAUCUGAAGGAACAUCAGUGGCGAAGGCGACCUUCUGGACUGAUACUGACACUGAGGUGCGAAAGCGUGGGGAGCAAACA